AUAAUGGGUCAGCGACUUAUAUUCUGUAGCAAGGUUAACCGAAUAGGGGAGCCGAAGGGAAACCGAGUCUUAACUGGGCGUUAAGUUGCAGGGUAUAGACCCGAAACCCGGUGAUCUAGCCAUGGGCAGGUUGAAGGUUGGGUAACACUAACUGGAGGACCGAACCGACUAAUGUUGAAAAAUUAGCGGAUGACUUGUGGCUGGGGGUGAAAGGCCAAUCAAACCGGGAGAUAGCUGGUUCUCCCCGAAAGCUAUUUAGGUAGCGCCUCGUGAAUUCAUCUCCGGGGGUAGAGCACUGUUUCGGCAAGGGGGUCAUCCCGACUUACCAACCCGAUGCAAACUGCGAAUACCGGAGAAUGUUAUCACGGGAGACACACGGCGGGUGCUAACGUCCG
rnacentral:rRNA from 1 species